rnacentral:rRNA from 1 species
UACGGAGGGUGCAAGCGUUGUUCGGAAUCAUUGGGCGUAAAGAGCGUGUAGGCGGCCAAGUAAGUCUGAUGUGAAAGCCCGGGGCUUAACCCCGGAAGUGCAUUGGAUACUGCUUGGCUAGAGUACGAGAGGGGGAGGCGGAAUUCCUGGUGUAGGGGUGAAAUCCGUAGAUAUCAGGAGGAACACCGGAGGCGAAGGCGGCUUCCUGGCUCGUUACUGACGCUGAGACGCGAAAGCGUGGGGAGCAAACAGG